rnacentral:rRNA from 1 species
UACGGAGGGGGGCGAGCGUUAUUCGGAAUUAUUGGGCGUAAAGGGCGCGUAGGCGGCUCUACAAGUCAGAGGUGAAAUCCCUCGGCUCAACUGAGGAACUGCCUUUGAAACUGUAAGGCUUGAGGCCGGGAGGGGGGUAGCGGAAUUCCCAGUGUAGCGGUGAAAUGCGUAGAUAUUGGGAGGAACACCAGUGGCGAAGGCGGCUACCUGGACCGGUUCUGACGCUGAUGCGCGAAAGCGUGGGUAGCAAACAGG